rnacentral:rRNA from 1 species
UACGUAGGGUGCGAGCGUUGUCCGGAAUUAUUGGGCGUAGAGGGCUCGUAGGCGGUUUGUCGCGUCGGGAGUGAAAUCCACUGGCUUAACUGGUGGCUUGCUUUCGAUACGGGCAGACUGGAGGUAUGCAGGGGAGAACGGAAUUCCUGGUGUAGCGGUGAAAUGCGCAGAUAUCAGGAGGAACACCGGUGGCGAAGGCGGGUCUCUGGGCAAUAACUGACGCUGGAGGAGCGAAAGCGUGGGGAGCGAACAGGA